rfam:Hordeum vulgare subsp. vulgare, WGS project CAJW01000000 data, contig: morex_contig_126567
CAAAUACUCCCUCCGUCCGGAAAUAUUUGUCCUACAAAUGGAUGUAUCUAGGCUUAUUUUAGUUAUAAAUACAUUUGUUUUAUUCAUUUUUAGGACAAGUAUUUCCGGACGGAGGGAGUGGUUC